UUUAAUCGAUGGGGGGACGCAGUAGGAUAGGCGAAGCGUGCGAUUGGAUUGCACGUCUAAGCAGUAAGGCUGAGUAUUAGGCAAAUCCGGUACUCAUUAAGGCUGAGCUGUGAUGGGGAGAAGACAUUGUGUCUUCGAGUCGUUGAUUUCACACUGCCGAGAAAAGCCUCUAGAUAGAAAAUAGGUGCCCGUACCGCAAACCGACACAGGUAGUCAAGAUGAGAAUUCUAAGGUGAGCGAGCGAACUCUCGUUAAGGAACUCGGCAAAAUGACCCCGUAACUUCGGGAGAAGGGGUGCUCUUUAGGGUUAACGCCCAGAAGAGCCGCAGUGAAUAGGCCCAAGCGACUGUUUAUCAAAAACACAGGUCUCUGCUAAACCGUAAGGUGAUGUAUAGGGGCUGACGCCUGCCCGGUGCUGGAAGGUUAAGAGGAGUGGUUAGCUUCUGCGAAGCUACGAAUCGAAGCCCCAGUAAACGGCGGCCGUAACUAUAACGGUCCUAAGGUAGCGAAAUUCCUUGUCGGGUAAGUUCCGACCCGCACGAAAGGCGUAACGAUUUGGGCACUGUCUCAACGAGAGACUCGGUGAAAUCAUAGUACCUGUGAAGAUGCAGGUUACCCGCGACAGGACGGAAAGACCCCGUGGAGCUUUACUGUAGCCUGAUAUUGAAAUUCGGCACAGCUUGUACAGGAUAGGUAGGAGCCUUUGAAACGUGAGCGCUAGCUUACGUGGAGGCGCUGGUGGGAUACUACCCUAGCUGUGUUGGCUUUCUAACCCGCACCACUUAUCGUGGUGGGAGACAGUGUCAGGCGGGCAGUUUGACUGGGGCGGUCGCCUCCUAAAAGGUAACGGAGGCGCUCAAAGGUUCCCUCAGAAUGGUUGGAAAUCAUUCAUAGAGUGUAAAGGCAUAAGGGAGCUUGACUGCGAGACCUACAAGUCGAGCAGGGUCGAAAGACGGACUUAGUGAUCCGGUGGUUCCGCAUGGAAGGGCCAUCGCUCAACGGAUAAAAGCUACCCCGGGGAUAACAGGCUUAUCUCCCCCAAGAGUUCACAUCGACGGGGAGGUUUGGCACCUCGAUGUCGGCUCAUCGCAUCCUGGGGCUGUAGUCGGUCCCAAGGGUUGGGCUGUUCGCCCAUUAAAGCGGUACGCGAGCUGGGUUCAGAACGUCGUGAGACAGUUCGGUCCCUAUCCGUCGUGGGCGUAGGAAAUUUGAGAGGAGCUGUCCUUAGUACGAGAGGACCGGGAUGGACAUACCUCUGGUGUACCAGUUGUCGUGCCAACGGCAUAGCUGGGUAGCUAUGUGUGGACGGGAUAAGUGCUGAAAGCAUCUAAGCAUGAAGCCCCCCUCAAGAUGAGAUUUCCCAACUUCGGUUAUAAGAUCCCUCAAAGAUGAUGAGGUUAAUAGGUUCGAGGUGGAAGCAUGGUGACAUGUGGAGCUGACGAAUACUAAUCGAUCGAAGACUUAAUCAA
rnacentral:rRNA from 1 species